rnacentral:rRNA from 1 species
UACGAAGGGGGCUAGCGUUGCUCGGAAUGACUGGGCGUAAAGGGCGCGUAGGCGGUUGUUUCGUUAGGCGUGAAAUUCCUGGGCUCAACCUGGGGACUGCGCUUAAGACAAGCAGACUGGAGUGUGAAAGAGGGUCGUGGAAUUCCCAGUGUAGAGGUGAAAUUCGUAGAUAUUGGGAAGAACACCGGUGGCGAAGGCGGCGACCUGGUUCAUUACUGACGCUGAGGCGCGAAAGCGUGGGGAGCAACAGG